GGCUCAGAUUGAACGCUGGCGGAAUGCUUUACACAUGCAAGUCGAACGGUAGAGGGGGGCAACCCCUUGAGAGUGGCGAACGGGUGAGUAAUAUAUCGGAACGUGCCCAGUCGUGGGGGAUAACGUAGCGAAAGCUACGCUAAUACCGCAUACGAUCUAUGGAUGAAAGCGGGGGAUCGCAAGACCUCGCGCGAUUGGAGCGGCCGAUAUCAGAUUAGGUAGUUGGUGAGGUAAAGGCUCACCAAGCCGACGAUCUGUAGCUGGUCUGAGAGGACGACCAGCCACACUGGGACUGAGACACGGCCCAGACUCCUACGGGAGGCAGCAGUGGGGAAUUUUGGACAAUGGGCGCAAGCCUGAUCCAGCAAUGCCGCGUGCAGGAUGAAGGCCUUCGGGUUGUAAACUGCUUUUGUACGGAACGAAACGGUGAGCUCUAAUACAGUUUGCUAAUGACGGUACCGUAAGAAUAAGCACCGGCUAACUACGUG
rnacentral:rRNA from 1 species